CAGGGCUGGGACCCCGAGCGCGGCAUUUGGCCGUGUUGCCCCGCUGCCUGGCAGCUGAGAGUCGCUCCCGCCGCUGGGGGGGAAACCGAGCUCUGUGGCUCCAGGGGUGUUGUCCACCCGCCUGUAAUCAGGGUCUGGGUGCGCGAGCGCUUGUGCUCAGCUGGCAGCCUGUGUGGGGUGACCGCCCCGUUAGCGGGGUGCGGGUCAAGGUGCCCCCUGAGUGGGAGAGAAGGAGCCUCCCGCGGCCGGUAGGGAUGGGGGCUGCCCUGUAAGGCGGGGAGCGCCAGUGCCUCGCAAUCCCAGGCCCUUUGCAAUGGAUGCAGUGGCGGGGGUCCCCUGUAAUCAGGGAAGAUGACUCUUUGGCCGCUGCUUGUUGUGUGCCCAGCUCCAUUUGCCCAGUCUGCCCGCCUCUGUGAUCCCCCGCAGCACCGGCUGGAAGCGCGCCGUGCGCCAGUGAGGAGCUGCUGCAGGAGGAGGAGGAGGAGGAGGAGGAAGAAGAAGAAGCGGCGUGGGAACACGGGAGGCAGGAGCGAGCAAGAAGAGGAUGCCGAAGCGUGCCGACGCGGGGGGGAAGGAGAGAGGCAGGCUGGGCAAAGCAGGUUUUCCAUUAUAGAGGGGCUGCAGUCACAUGAGAGUUUGAGCGUUGCCGGUGCCUAGGCCGGCUUUGUGCUGGGCGACCUCCCUGUAAGCAGGGCUCGGGUCUUUGCUUUUGCUGUAGUUGGGCUUUUGCCUUGCUGCUCCUUAGGCUGCCUGGGGAGCGUGGCCCCCUGUAACGGAGGGCGAGAGCCACCUCUCCGCACCUGAGUGGGAAAUGGAGCUCGCCGGACCCCGAGGCCGCCCUGUAAGCAGGGUAGUGCCGUUUGCCCGUCCCUCUUCCUCCUCCGGCCCCUCGGCAUCGUUGCCUGGUGGUGGCCCGUAAAUGCGACGGCCCCGUACUCGGGGUGCGCGUCACGGCAUCUGGCCGGCUUUGGCUUUAGCUGGGAAGCCCCUUGGCACGUUGAGGUCUGCGGCCUCCGUGCAGGCUAGAGAGAGUUCCCAGGCUCUUGGCUGUCCUUGAGUGGGCGCCUGCUCCGCUGGCGGUGUGACAGCCCCGUAGUCGGGGCGUGUGUCCUAAGCUGCGGAGGCCUCUGUCCCGCGAGCGGCCCGCCCUGCCUGUAAUCAGGUGUGGGGAGGCUGCAGCAUUGCAGCCGGCUGCUCUAGCCAUCCAGCUGGUGGGAUUGACCCCUCCCUGUCCCGUCAGAGGGUGCAGGUUGAGGUGCUGGUUUUGUGUGUGGGGUGACCUCCCCGCUGGGUGGGUCGAGGUUGCUCCCCGGGUUCCCAAAGACGAGAGCUUGGUGAUGUUGUGCUGCUGCCGGGCGGGCCAGCCUGUAGCUCAGGCGUUGGCGGGAGCCUCGUGCUCCGCGGGGCUUCUUGGUGAGGGUGGGGUGUGGGGGUACCGUCCUGUAGGCAGGGCUGUGCGUGCCCCCGCUGUGUGCUUGGUGAGCUGCGUUGAGAGAGACCCCCUGUAGUCAGGCGGGCAUGUGGCCCCGGCCUUUCAGAGGCACGGGGCCGCGAGAUGCGGGGUUGGGCUUGCGCCCUCCCUGGGACCAGGAAUCAGGGCUGGGACCCCGAGCGCGGCAUUUGGCCGUGUUGCCCCGCUGCCUGGCAGCUGAGAGUCGCUCCCGCCGCUGGGGGGGAAACCGAGCUCUGUGGCUCCAGGGGUGUUGUCCACCCGCCUGUAAUCAGGGUCUGGGUGCGCGAGCGCUUGUGCUCAGCUGGCAGCCUGUGUGGGGUGACCGCCCCGUUAGCGGGGUGCGGGUCAAGGUGCCCCCUGAGUGGGAGAGAAGGAGCCUCCCGCGGCCGGUAGGGAUGGGGGCUGCCCUGUAAGGCGGGGAGCGCCAGUGCCUCGCAAUCCCAGGCCCUUUGCAAUGGAUGCAGUGGCGGGGGUCCCCUGUAAUCAGGGAAGAUGACUCUUUGGCCGCUGCUUGUUGUGUGCCCAGCUCCAUUUGCCCAGUCUGCCCGCCUCUGUGAUCCCCCGCAGCACCGGCUGGAAGCGCGCCGUGCGCCAGUGAGGAGCUGCUGCAGGAGGAGGAGGAGGAGGAGGAAGAAGAAGAAGCGGCGUGGGAACACGGGAGGCAGGAGCGAGCAAGAAGAGGAUGCCGAAGCGUGCCGACGCGGGGGGGAAGGAGAGAGGCAGGCUGGGCAAAGCAGGUUUUCCAUUAUAGAGGGGCUGCAGUCACAUGAGAGUUUGAGCGUUGCCGGUGCCUAGGCCGGCUUUGUGCUGGGCGACCUCCCUGUAAGCAGGGCUCGGGUCUUUGCUUUUGCUGUAGUUGGGCUUUUGCCUUGCUGCUCCUUAGGCUGCCUGGGGAGCGUGGCCCCCUGUAACGGAGGGCGAGAGCCACCUCUCCGCACCUGAGUGGGAAAUGGAGCUCGCCGGACCCCGAGGCCGCCCUGUAAGCAGGGUAGUGCCGUUUGCCCGUCCCUCUUCCUCCUCCGGCCCCUCGGCAUCGUUGCCUGGUGGUGGCCCGUAAAUGCGACGGCCCCGUACUCGGGGUGCGCGUCACGGCAUCUGGCAAUUGGCUUUAGCUGGGAAGCCCCUUGGCACGUUGAGGUCUGCGGCCUCCGUGCAGGCUAGAGAGAGUUCCCAGGCUCUUGGCUGUCCUUGAGUGGGCGCCUGCUCCGCUGGCGGUGUGACAGCCCCGUAGUCGGGGCGUGUGUCCUAAGCUGCGGAGGCCUCUGUCCCGCGAGCGGCCCGCCCUGCCUGUAAUCAGGUGUGGGGAGGCUGCAGCAUUGCAGCCGGCUGCUCUAGCCAUCCAGCUGGUGGGAUUGACCCCUCCCUGUCCCGUCAGAGGGUGCAGGUUGAGGUGCUGGUUUUGUGUGUGGGGUGACCUCCCCGCUGGGUGGGUCGAGGUUGCUCCCCGGGUUCCCAAAGACGAGAGCUUGGUGAUGUUGUGCUGCUGCCGGGCGGGCCAGCCUGUAGCUCAGGCGUUGGCGGGAGCCUCGUGCUCCGCGGGGCUUCUUGGUGAGGGUGGGGUGUGGGGGUACCGUCCUGUAGGCAGGGCUGUGCGUGCCCCCGCUGUGUGCUUGGUGAGCUGCGUUGAGAGAGACCCCCUGUAGUCAGGCGGGCAUGUGGCCCCGGCCUUUCAGAGGCACGGGGCCGCGAGAUGCGGGGUUGGGCUUGCGCCCUCCCUGGGACCAGGAAUCAGGGCUGGGACCCCGAGCGCGGCAUUUGGCCGUGUUGCCCCGCUGCCUGGCAGCUGAGAGUCGCUCCCGCCGCUGGGGGGGAAACCGAGCUCUGUGGCUCCAGGGGUGUUGUCCACCCGCCUGUAAUCAGGUCUGGGUGCGCGAGCGCUUGUGCUCAGCUGGCAGCCUGUGUGGGGUGACCGCCCCGUUAGCGGGGUGCGGGUCAAGGUGCCCCCUGAGUGGGAGAGAAGGAGCCUCCCGCGGCCGGUAGGGAUGGGGGCUGCCCUGUAAGGCGGGGAGCGCCAGUGCCUCGCAAUCCCAGGCCCUUUGCAAUGGAUGCAGUGGCGGGGGUCCCCUGUAAUCAGGGAAGAUGACUCUUUGGCCGCUGCUUGUUGUGUGCCCAGCUCCAUUUGCCCAGUCUGCCCGCCUCUGUGAUCCCCCGCAGCACCGGCUGGAAGCGCGCCGUGCGCCAGUGAGGAGCUGCUGCAGGAGGAGGAGGAGGAGGAGGAAGAAGAAGAAGCGGCGUGGGAACACGGGAGGCAGGAGCGAGCAAGAAGAGGAUGCCGAAGCGUGCCGACGCGGGGGGGAAGGAGAGAGGCAGGCUGGGCAAAGCAGGUUUUCCAUUAUAGAGGGGCUGCAGUCACAUGAGAGUUUGAGCGUUGCCGGUGCCUAGGCCGGCUUUGUGCUGGGCGACCUCCCUGUAAGCAGGGCUCGGGUCUUUGCUUUUGCUGUAGUUGGGCUUUUGCCUUGCUGCUCCUUAGGCUGCCUGGGGAGCGUGGCCCCCUGUAACGGAGGGCGAGAGCCACCUCUCCGCACCUGAGUGGGAAAUGGAGCUCGCCGGACCCCGAGGCCGCCCUGUAAGCAGGGUAGUGCCGUUUGCCCGUCCCUCUUCCUCCUCCGGCCCCUCGGCAUCGUUGCCUGGUGGUGGCCCGUAAAUGCGACGGCCCCGUACUCGGGGUGCGCGUCACGGCAUCUGGCCGGCUUUGGCUUUAGCUGGGAAGCCCCUUGGCACGUUGAGGUCUGCGGCCUCCGUGCAGGCUAGAGAGAGUUCCCAGGCUCUUGGCUGUCCUUGAGUGGGCGCCUGCUCCGCUGGCGGUGUGACAGCCCCGUAGUCGGGGCGUGUGUCCUAAGCUGCGGAGGCCUCUGUCCCGCGAGCGGCCCGCCCUGCCUGUAAUCAGGUGUGGGGAGGCUGCAGCAUUGCAGCCGGCUGCUCUAGCCAUCCAGCUGGUGGGAUUGACCCCUCCCUGUCCCGUCAGAGGGUGCAGGUUGAGGUGCUGGUUUUGUGUGUGGGGUGACCUCCCCGCUGGGUGGGUCGAGGUUGCUCCCCGGGUUCCCAAAGACGAGAGCUUGGUGAUGUUGUGCUGCUGCCGGGCGGGCCAGCCUGUAGCUCAGGCGUUGGCGGGAGCCUCGUGCUCCGCGGGGCUUCUUGGUGAGGGUGGGGUGUGGGGGUACCGUCCUGUAGGCAGGGCUGUGCGUGCCCCCGCUGUGUGCUUGGUGAGCUGCGUUGAGAGAGACCCCCUGUAGUCAGGCGGGCAUGUGGCCCCGGCCUUUCAGAGGCACGGGGCCGCGAGAUGCGGGGUUGGGCUUGCGCCCUCCCUGGGACCAGGAAUCAGGGCUGGGACCCCGAGCGCGGCAUUUGGCCGUGUUGCCCCGCUGCCUGGCAGCUGAGAGUCGCUCCCGCCGCUGGGGGGGAAACCGAGCUCUGUGGCUCCAGGGGUGUUGUCCACCCGCCUGUAAUCAGGGUCUGGGUGCGCGAGCGCUUGUGCUCAGCUGGCAGCCUGUGUGGGGUGACCGCCCCGUUAGCGGGGUGCGGGUCAAGGUGCCCCCUGAGUGGGAGAGAAGGAGCCUCCCGCGGCCGGUAGGGAUGGGGGCUGCCCUGUAAGGCGGGGAGCGCCAGUGCCUCGCAAUCCCAGGCCCUUUGCAAUGGAUGCAGUGGCGGGGGUCCCCUGUAAUCAGGGAAGAUGACUCUUUGGCCGCUGCUUGUUGUGUGCCCAGCUCCAUUUGCCCAGUCUGCCCGCCUCUGUGAUCCCCCGCAGCACCGGCUGGAAGCGCGCCGUGCGCCAGUGAGGAGCUGCUGCAGGAGGAGGAGGAGGAGGAGGAAGAAGAAGAAGCGGCGUGGGAACACGGGAGGCAGGAGCGAGCAAGAAGAGGAUGCCGAAGCGUGCCGACGCGGGGGGGAAGGAGAGAGGCAGGCUGGGCAAAGCAGGUUUUCCAUUAUAGAGGGGCUGCAGUCACAUGAGAGUUUGAGCGUUGCCGGUGCCUAGGCCGGCUUUGUGCUGGGCGACCUCCCUGUAAGCAGGGCUCGGGUCUUUGCUUUUGCUGUAGUUGGGCUUUUGCCUUGCUGCUCCUUAGGCUGCCUGGGGAGCGUGGCCCCCUGUAACGGAGGGCGAGAGCCACCUCUCCGCACCUGAGUGGGAAAUGGAGCUCGCCGGACCCCGAGGCCGCCCUGUAAGCAGGGUAGUGCCGUUUGCCCGUCCCUCUUCCUCCUCCGGCCCCUCGGCAUCGUUGCCUGGUGGUGGCCCGUAAAUGCGACGGCCCCGUACUCGGGGUGCGCGUCACGGCAUCUGGCCGGCUUUGGCUUUAGCUGGGAAGCCCCUUGGCACGUUGAGGUCUGCGGCCUCCGUGCAGGCUAGAGAGAGUUCCCAGGCUCUUGGCUGUCCUUGAGUGGGCGCCUGCUCCGCUGGCGGUGUGACAGCCCCGUAGUCGGGGCGUGUGUCCUAAGCUGCGGAGGCCUCUGUCCCGCGAGCGGCCCGCCCUGCCUGUAAUCAGGUGUGGGGAGGCUGCAGCAUUGCAGCCGGCUGCUCUAGCCAUCCAGCUGGUGGGAUUGACCCCUCCCUGUCCCGUCAGAGGGUGCAGGUUGAGGUGCUGGUUUUGUGUGUGGGGUGACCUCCCCGCUGGGUGGGUCGAGGUUGCUCCCCGGGUUCCCAAAGACGAGAGCUUGGUGAUGUUGUGCUGCUGCCGGGCGGGCCAGCCUGUAGCUCAGGCGUUGGCGGGAGCCUCGUGCUCCGCGGGGCUUCUUGGUGAGGGUGGGGUGUGGGGGUACCGUCCUGUAGGCAGGGCUGUGCGUGCCCCCGCUGUGUGCUUGGUGAGCUGCGUUGAGAGAGACCCCCUGUAGUCAGGCGGGCAUGUGGCCCCGGCCUUUCAGAGGCACGGGGCCGCGAGAUGCGGGGUUGGGCUUGCGCCCUCCCUGGG